rnacentral:rRNA from 1 species
UGGGGGGGAAUCUUCCGGCAAUGGACGGAAAGUCUGACUCGCAGCAACGCCGCGUGAGUGAUGAAGGUUUUCGGAUCUGUAAAACUCUGUUGUUAGAGAAGAACAUGGACGUUCGUAACUGAGCGUCCCCUGACGGUAUCUAACCAGAAAGCCCCGGCUAACUACGUGCCAGCAGCCGCGGUAAUACGUAGGUGGCAAGCGUUGUCCGGAUUUAUUGGGCGUAAAGCGAGCGCAGGCGGUUUCUUAAGUCUGAUGUGAAAUCCCCCGGCUCAACCGGGGAGGGUCAUUGGAAACUGGGAAACUUGAGUGCGUAAGAGGAGAGUGGAAUUCCAUGUGUAGCGGUGAAAUGCGUAGAUAUAUGGAGGAACACCAAUGGCGAAGGCGGCUCUCUGGUCUGUAACUGACGCUGAGGCUCGAAAGCGUGGGGAGCAAACAGGAUUAGAUACCCCGGUAGU